CCAACAGUCCUUUUCAGGACUACACACACUCAAAUGGAAAGAUUA
rfam:Strongylocentrotus purpuratus Contig80796_fixed, whole genome shotgun sequence.